UACGUAGGGGGCAAGCGUUGUCCGGAUUUAUUGGGCGUAAAGAGCGUGUAGGCGGCCAUACAGGUCCGUUGUGAAAACUCGAGGCUCAACCUCGAGACGUCGAUGGAAACCGUAUGGCUAGAGUCCGGAAGAGGAGAGUGGAAUUCCUGGUGUAGCGGUGAAAUGCGCAGAUAUCAAGGAAGAACACCCGUGGCGAAGGCGGCUCUCUGGGACGGUACUGACGCUGAGACGCGAAAGCGUGGGGAGCGAACAGGG
rnacentral:rRNA from 1 species